rnacentral:rRNA from 1 species
UACGGAGGGUGGGCGAGCGUUGUCCGGAAUCACUGGGCGUAAAGGGCGCGUAGGCGGCGCGGGCAGUCAACGGUGAAAGCUUGGGCUCAAACCCCGAGUCGGCCGUCGAUACUCCCGUGCUUGAGCACUGUAGAGGCAGGUGGAAUUCCGGGUGUAGGCGGUGGAAUGCGUAGAGAUCCGGAAGAACACCGGUGGCGAAGGCGGCUUGCUGGGCUCCGGUCUGACGCUGAGGCGGCGAAAAGCGGUGGGGAGCCGAACAGG